AGGGUGUACAGCUACUGUGUUUGAUUGACAAGGCAUUUGAUGCCUGUCGGUACCUGCAGGACUAUGGGGAAUGGGACCAGGCUGCCUGGCUAGCCAAGGCUUCCCUGAACAAUGUGGAGUGCUCAGAGGUGAUGAAGAGAUGGGUGGACCAUCUCUGCUCAUCUGCUGUCAACUAUAAGAGUAAAGCUAUCUUGGUGCUGCUAUCCCUGGGACAUUUCAUAAAGGUGUUGGAGCUAUUGUACAGGUGAGUUC